AUGCUGGGGCCUGGUGAGGAUCGGGGCUGUGUGCCUGCUGCCAUGCUCUGCCCUCGGUUGUGCUGGGCACUGCACUCUACUUCUGGCCUGGCACUGCGUGAACCUGGGGAGCUUUGGGGGAUGUAUUGUAGUGAGCUGGGAGACACAGACAGGCACUGCCAAAAUGCUGAGCACCCAGAGCCAGACACACAUGGACGUGACCACGCCAUGGGCAGAGCACGGGCAAGGCUCACGCUCGGCAGGAUUUCCUCUCCGUGCUAUCUCCUCACUGUGUCUUGCGAGUCUGCAAGGAAAUGUGUCGCCAAUAAUCAGCUGUCUCCAAACAGUUCAGCAUUGCUGGGGCGUUUGUGCUGGCUGCGGGUGGAAGGACUGAUCUUGGAAGGAAACUCCAUGUGA
rnacentral:lncRNA from 1 species